rnacentral:rRNA from 1 species
UGAGUAACAUGUAUCCAACCUGCCGUCUACUCUUGGACAGCCUUCUGAAAGGAAGAUUAAUACAAGAUGGCAUCAUGAGUCCGCAUGUUCACAUGAUUAAAGGUAUUCCGGUAGACGAUGGGGAUGCGUUCCAUUAGAUAGUAGGCGGGGUAACGGCCCACCUAGUCUUCGAUGGAUAGGGGUUCUGAGAGGAAGGUCCCCCACAUUGGAACUGAGACACGGUCCAAACUCCUACGGGAGGCAGCAUG